rnacentral:rRNA from 1 species
UACGUAGGUGGCAAGCGUUGUCCGGAUUUACUGGGCGUAAAGAGCGCGCAGGCGGUCGUUCAAGUCGCGUGUGAAAGCCCCCGGCUCAACUGGGGAGGGUCACGCGAUACUGAUCGACUCGAAGGCAGGAGAGGGUAGUGGAAUUCCCGGUGUAGUGGUGAAAUGCGUAGAUAUCGGGAGGAACACCGGUGGCGAAGGCGGUUCUCUGGGAAUGUCCUGACGCUGAGGAGCGAAAGUGUGGGGAGCGAACAGG